GCCUCAUUGCCGAGGGUUUGAGCUCCCCCUGCUGAUCGUUAGCAUAAUCGUUUUGCAGUCCCUUCCCUUUAGUCAGCUGUAGCCUUUCUCUCCAGUUUUCCAAGUUGCUACUAUGGAAGCGCCGCAAGGGAGCAGUUCCGUUCUGAUGAGCACAUCCAUGAACAUCAAGGAGCAGUCAGAAGACAUAAUGAAAUCUCCUUAAUUUCAAAGCACAAGGACAGACUCAACUGUUGAAAGAAAAAUCUUCAUCAGGAGUCCAAUCCAAGCCGGGAGUAAAUAACAUGGAAAGAAGGCUGUAGUUUAUUGAAGAGGAGAGCCAAACAGAAAGAUGGCUCUGGAAAAACUGACCACAUGUAGCAGGGAGUGGAAGAAAGCAAUGGUAAACCAUUUCUGAAAAAUCUUGCCAAGAAAAGUGCAGGAACUUGUC